rnacentral:rRNA from 1 species
CCUACGGGGGGCUGCAGUGGGGAAUAUUGCACAAUGGGCGCAAGCCUGAUGCAGCCAUGCCGCGUGUGUGAAGAAGGCCUUCGGGUUGUAAAGCACUUUCAGCGGGGAGGAAGGCGUUAAGGUUAAUAACCUUGUCGAUUGACGUUACCCGCAGAAGAAGCACCGGCUAACUCCGUGCCAGCAGCCGCGGUAAUACGGAGGGUGCAAGCGUUAAUCGGAAUUACUGGGCGUAAAGCGCACGCAGGCGGUCUGUCAAGUCGGAUGUGAAAUCCCCGGGCUCAACCUGGGAACUGCAUUCGAAACUGGCAGGCUAGAGUCUUGUAGAGGGGGGUAGAAUUCCAGGUGUAGCGGUGAAAUGCGUAGAGAUCUGGAGGAAUACCGGUGGCGAAGGCGGCCCCCUGGACAAAGACUGACGCUCAGGUGCGAAAGCGUGGGGAGCAAACAGGAUUAGAUACCCUGAUAGUC